UACGUAGGUGGCAAGCGUUGUCCGGAUUUACUGGGCGUAAAGGGUAUGUAGGCGGACCGUUAAGUAGAAAGUGAAAGGUUGGGGCUCAACUCCAACACUGCUCUCUAUACUGGCGAUCUUGAGUGCCGGAGAGGAAGAUGGAACUGCACGUGUAGCGGUGAUAUGCGUUGAGAUGUGCAGGAACACCAAUGGCGAAAGCAAUCUUCUGGACGGAUACUGACGCUGAUAUACGAAAGCCAAGGGAGCGAACAGG
rnacentral:rRNA from 1 species